UACAGGGGGUGCAAACGUUGCUCGGAAUCAUUGGGCGUAAAGCGCACGUAGGCGGUCUGUUAUGUCGGAUGUGAAAGCCCUUGGCUCAACUGAGGAAGUGCAUCCGAAACUGGCAGGCUAGAGUACUAAAGAGGGUCGCGGAAUUCCCGGUGUAGAGGUGAAAUGCGUAGAGAUCCGGAGGAACCCCAGAGGCGAAGGCGGCCCCCUGGCUCGUACCUGACGCUCAGCCACGAAAGCAUGGGGAGCGAACGGG
rnacentral:rRNA from 1 species